GCGUGAGGGGACGGCCUUCGGGUUGUAAACCUCUUUCAGUAGGGAAGAAGCGAAAGUGACGGUACCUGCAGAAGAAGCACCGGCUAACUACGUGCCAGCAGCCGCGGUAAUACGUAGGGUGCGAGCGUUAUCCGGAAUUAUUGGGCGUAAAGAGCUCGUAGGCGGUUUGUCGCGUCUGUCGUGAAAGUCCGGGGCUUAACCCCGGAUCUGCGGUGGGUACGGGCAGACUAGAGUGCAGUAGGGGAGACUGGAAUUCCUGGUGUAGCGGUGGAAUGCGCAGAUAUCAGGAGGAACACCGAUGGCGAAGGCAGGUCUCUGGGCUGUAACUGACGCUGAGGAGCGAAAGCAUGGGGAGCGAACAGGAUUAGAUACCCUGGUAGUCCAUGCCGUAAACGUUGGGCACUAGGUGUGGGGACCAUUCCACGGUUUCCGCGCCGCAGCUAACGCAUUAAGUGCCCCGCCUGGGGAGUACGGCCGCAAGGCUAAAACUCAAAGGAAUUGACGGGGGCCCGCACAAGCGGCGGAGCAUGCGGAUUAAUUCGAUGCAACGCGAAGAACCUUACCAAGGCUUGACAUGUUCUCGAUCGCCGUAGAGAUACGGUUUCCCCUUUGGGGCGGGUUCACAGGUGGUGCAUGGUUGUCGUCAGCUCGUGUCGUGAGAUGUUGGGUUAAGUCCCGCAACGAGCGCAACUCUCGUUCCAUGUUGCAGCACGUAGUGGUGGGGACUCAUGGGAGACUGCCGGGGUCAACUCGGAGAGGUGAGGGACGACGUCAAAUCAUCAUGCCC
rnacentral:rRNA from 1 species